CUUAAAAUCCUGUGAAGGAGAUAUGCUGGCAGUGAGAAAGGCAAUUACUGCUGGGUUUUUUGCAAAUGCGUGUCAUUUAGAAGCAUACAGCCACAGUGGGAAGUACAAGACCAUAAGAGG